rnacentral:rRNA from 1 species
GACGAACGCUGGCGGCGUGCUUAACACAUGCAAGUCGAACGGAAAGGCCCUGCUUUUGUGGGGUGCUCGAGUGGCGAACGGGUGAGUAGCACGUGAGUAACCUGCCCUUGACUUUGGGAUAACUUCAGGAAACUGGGGCUAAUACCGGAUAGGAGCUCCUGCUGCAUGGUGGGGGUUGGAAAGUUUCGGCGGUUGGGGAUGGACUCGCGGCUUAUCAGCUUGUUGGUGGGGUAGUGGCUUACCAAGGCUUUGACGGGUAGCCGGCCUGAGAGGGUGACCGGCCACAUUGGGACUGAGAUACGGCCCAGACUCCUACGGGAGGCAGCAGUGGGGAAUAUUGCACAAUGGGCGGAAGCCUGAUGCAGCGACGCCGCGUGCGGGAUGACGGCCUUCGGGUUGUAAACCGCUUUCGCCUGUGACGAAGCGUGAGUGACGGUAAUGGGUAAAGAAGCACCGGCUAACUACGUGCCAGCAGCCGCGGUGAUACGUAGGGUGCGAGCGUUGUCCGGAUUUAUUGGGCGUAAAGGGUUCGUAGGUGGUUGAUCGCGUCGGAAGUGUAAUCUUGGGGCUUAACCCUGAGCGUGCUUUCGAUACGGGUUGACUUGAGGAAGGUAGGGGAGAAUGGAAUUCCUGGUGGAGCGGUGGAAUGCGCAGAUAUCAGGAGGAACACCAGUGGCGAAGGCGGUUCUCUGGGCCUUUCCUGACGCUGAGGAGCGAAAGCGUGGGGAGCGAACAGGCUUAGAUACCCUGGUAGUCCACGCUGUAAACGGUGGGUACUAGGUGUGGGGUCCAUUCCACGGGUUCCGUGCCGUAGCUAACGCUUUAAGUACCCCGCCUGGGGAGUACGGCCGCAAGGCUAAAACUCAAAGGAAUUGACGGGGCCCCGCACAAGCGGCGGAGCAUGCGGAUUAAUUCGAUGCAACGCGUAGAACCUUACCUGGGUUUGACAUGGAUCGGGAGUGCUCAGAGAUGGGUGUGCCUCUUUUGGGGUCGGUUCACAGGUGGUGCAUGCCUGUCGUCAGCUCGUGUCGUGAGAUGUUGGGUUAAGUCCCGCAACGAGCGCAACCCUUGUUCACUGUUGCCAGCACGUUAUGGUGGGGACUCAGUGGAGACCGCCGGGGUCAACUCGGAGGAAGGUGGGGAUGACGUCAAGUCCUCAUGCCCCUUAUGUCCAGGGCUUCACGCAUGCUACAAUGGCUGGUACAGAGAGUGGCGAGCCUGUGAGGGUGAGCGAAUCUCGGAAAGCCGGUCUCAGUUCGGAUUGGAGUCUGCAACUCGACCUCAUGAAGUCGGAGUCGCUAGUAAUCGCAAAUCAGCAACGCUGCGGUGAAUACGUUCCCGGG